ACCUGACGCAGCAACGCCGCGUGUGUGAUGAAGGUCUUCGGAUUGUAAAGCACUUUCGACCGGGACGAAAACCCGUUGGCUAACAUCCAACGGCUUGACGGUACCGGGAGAAGAAGCACCGGCUAACUCUGUGCCAGCAGCCGCGGUAAUACAGAGGGUGCAAGCGUUGUUCGGAAUUAUUGGGCGUAAAGCGCGUGUAGGCGGCUUUGCAAGUCGGGUGUGAAAGCCCUCAGCUCAACUGAGGAAGUGCGCCCGAAACUGCAGAGCUUGAGUGCCGGAGAGGGUGGCGGAAUUCCCCAAGUAGAGGUGAAAUUCGUAGAUAUGGGGAGGAACACCGGUGGCGAAGGCGGCCACCUGGACGGUAACUGACGCUGAGACGCGAAAGCGUGGGGAGCAAACAGGAUUAGAUACCCUGGUAGUCCACGCCGUAAACGAUGAGAACUAGGUGUCGUGGGUGUUGACCCCCGCGGUGCCGUAGCUAACGCAUUAAGUUCUCCGCCUGGGAAGUACGGUCGCAAGACUA
rnacentral:rRNA from 1 species